AUGGCUGACAAAUCAACUGCCAUACCUAUCGGUAUCUGUGAGGAUGUGCCCGUUGUUGUUGCUAAUGUUACUAUUUUGACUAACUUUGUUAUACUUGAGAUGCCCGAGGACAACAACAUGUCAAUUAUCCUUGGUAGACCCUUCUUGAACACUGCAGGGGAUGUUAUUGGUUGCAAUAAAAGCAAGGUCACUUUUCAUAUCAAUGGUAAUGAGCAUAGAGUGCACUUUCCGAAGAAACAAUUCCAAGUGAAUGGUAUUAAUGUAUUGAAAAAUCUCCGACAAUCACUAUUGGAAGUUUUCAAAUACCUCUACCUACUGUCCAAAAGAAAUAUGAAAUGCUUAUUGUUUGGGACAUUCAUAUCCCCGUUGAGGAAAAGGAUGAAUAUCUUUAGGAAGUUUGCUUCUAAGAAGAACUCCAAGGGUGUUAUUGGGGAGUCGUCUGACAGUGAUCUCCAUCCUCGGAGGUUGGCAGAGGUACGGCCGUGCGAAUGGCCGCAUACCCAGUUCAUGGAAGAGGCUGGAAUCCUUCAGGAGUUCACACAAUAUGCUGCCAAUGCCGGCCUCACCGACUUCAUUGCAAAUGAAUGUGAACAGUAUCAUCUCCUCACAAACAUCUUUGUUCAAAGUUUUAAUUUCCUUUCUAGGAAUAAUCCUCCUAAGGUGCAGUUUAACUUAUAUGUUGAAACCCGUCAGAUACCACUUACUGAAUUUUGUAACAUAUGCAUGAUCCCUUCUAACGGGAGCUUAGCCGAGACUAGGCCGACAGAGUUUGAGGCCUUUUAUCGCACCUUGACAGUGGGAGAUGAGAGAUGGGUGUCAGCUAUCACUACCACUGGCUUGCAUUUUCCUGUUGUUCAUUACUUUGCUCUUUUCAUUGCAAAAUGCUUGCUUGCUAGAGAGAAGGUGGGUGCACUCAGUUCACCAGACCUUGCUAUUUUACGUCGUGCACUAGAGGGUGACAACACUUAUAACUUGGGAGCUAUUGUGGCUCGUCGCCUCCACAUUAAUAAGUCCAAGGGUAAAAUACAUGGUGGGAUUUUCGCUACUCGUUUGGCGGCUCACUUCAAUAUUGAGAUACGCCUUCAUGAUCACCCUCUUACCAAAGUUUACCUAGAUCACGCAGCCAUGGAUCACCACCAUUUCACUGAUAACAACUCUCCUGGCAUCCCUAUUCCAUAUAACCUGGUUUUUAGUGUGAGGACUCGUGAUAUUAUUCCAUUGCCUGCUCCUGCUUUGUUUGAUCCUGUUGCUAGGGGCAGAUAUAGGAUUAUGUCUGCGGACAUCAUCGCCUACCAAAACAACCAGGUUGUAGCAGAGGAAGACCCCUAG
rnacentral:rRNA from 1 species